rnacentral:tRNA from 1 species
AUCGGAUCGUUUUAGAAACAUCAGUGGCCAACAGAUCGCCAGAUCGUUGAGCUGCAUUGGCGGGAUUUCGCCGUCUUCGUUUCUCUUUCUUCGCGGACGAACACGCGCCGGGGCUGCGCUGUGCGAUUGCAUUCGGCGCUGGUCGCCGGUUGCUUGCACGCAAGACCCUAGUCCUGAUGAGGAUAGCGUUAGGGGCUUGUAGCUCAGUUGGUUAGAGCGCGCGCUUGAUAAGCGUGAGGUCGGAAGUUCAAGUCUUCCCAGGCCCACCACUUUCAUCGAGUGAGCAUUCGUCUUCUGGUUACGGGGCCAUAGCUCAGCUGGGAGAGCGCGUGCUUUGCAAGCAUGAGGUCGUCGGUUCGAUCCCGUCUGGCUCCACCAGAUGGUUUGAUCGCCGAGAUCUUGACCGUCGUCCGCGAAACAUCACUUCGCAUUCACUAGUCUGGAUAGACAGUGAACUGCGUGUUUUCUGACAUCGUAAAGAGGAGAUCGAUCCGAGUUGGGUCGUGCAGCAUAUCGUUGCGCGGGGCCAUCAUUAUCUCCGGAUCAUUUCGGCGCUCGCUUUCAGCUGUGAGGUUGAAUGCGGGUUGUAAAUGAUCCUUUUAGCGAAGCUUGACCGCCUCGCUAUCGGAACGAUCUUACGAAGCAAGCUGGUCUUUCUAGUCAAUGUCCGGCUGCAGAUAGCGUCCA